UCCAGAUGAUGAAAUACUGGGCCAACUUUGC
rnacentral:piRNA from 1 species